rnacentral:rRNA from 1 species
GACGAACGCUGGCGGCGUGCUUAACACAUGCAAGUCGAACGGAAAGGCCCUGCUUUUGUGGGGUGCUCGAGUGGCGAACGGGUGAGUAACACGUGAGUAACCUGCCCUUGACUUUGGGAUAACUUCAGGAAACUGGGGCUAAUACCGGAUAGGAGCUCCUGCUGCAUGGUGGGGGUUGGAAAGUUUCGGCGGUUGGGGAUGGACUCGCGGGUUAUCAGCUUGUUGGUGGGGUAGUGGCUUACCAAGGCUUUGACGGGUAGCCGGCCUGGGAGGGUGACCGGCGACAUUGGGACUGAGGGACGGCGCAGAGGCCUACGUGAGGCAGCGGUGGGGAAUAUUGCACAAUGGGCGGAAGCCUGAUGCAGCAGCGCCGCGUGCGGGAUGACGGCCUUCGGGUUGUAAACCGCUUUCGCCUGUGACGAAGCGUGAGUGACGGUAAUGGGUAAAGAAGCACCGGCUAACUACGUG